rnacentral:rRNA from 1 species
CGAGCGGUAGAGAUUCUUCGGAAUCUUGAGAGCGGCGCACGGGUGCGGAACACGUGUGCAACCUGCCUUUAUCUGGGAGAUAGCCUUUCGAAAGGAAGAUUAAUACCCCAUAAUAUAAGAAACGGCAUCGUUUUUUAUUGAAAGCUCCGGCGGAUAGAGAUGGGCACGCGCAAGAUUAGAUAGUUGGUGAGGUAACGGCUCACCAAGUCAAUGAUCUUUAGGGGGCCUGAGAGGGUGAUCCCCCACACUGGUACUGAGACACGGACCAGACUCCUACGGGAGGCAGCAGUGAGGAAUAUUGGACAAUGGGUGAGAGCCUGAUCCAGCCAUCCCGCGUGAAGGACGACGGCCCUAUGGGUUGUAAACUUCUUUUGUAUAGGGAUAAACCUACUCACGUGUGAGUAGCUGAAGGUACUAUACGAAUAAGCACCGGCUAACUCCGUGCCAGCAGCCGCGGUAAUACGGAGGGUGCAAGCGUUAUCCGGAUUUAUUGGGUUUAAAGGGUCCGUAGGCGGAUCUGUAAGUCAGUGGUGAAACUUAGGCUCAACCUGAGAACUGCCAUUGAAACUGAAUGACUAGAGUAUAUAUGAAGUUGGCGGAAUGUGUAGUGUAGCGGUGGAAUGCAUAGAUAUUACACAGAACACCAAUAGCGAAGGCAGUUGACUAAUAUAUAACUGACGCUGAUGGACGAAAGCGUGGGGAGCAAACAGGCUUAGAUACCCUGGUAGUCCACGCUGUAAACGAUGAUUACUCGAUGUUCGGUUCGAUUGCGAAUUGAGUGUCUAAGCGAAAGUGAUAAGUAAUCCACCUGGGGAGUACGUUCGCAAGAAUGAAACUCAAAGGAAUUGACGGGGGCCCGCACAAGCGGUGGAGCAUGUGGUUUAAUUCGAUGAUACGCGAGGAACCUUACCUAGUCUUAAAUGGGCAUUGAAUAAUUUAGAAAUAGAUUAGUCUUCGGACAAUGUUCAAGGUGCUGCAUGGUUGUCGUCAGCUCGUGCCGUGAGGUGUCAGGUUAAGUCCUAUAACGAGCGCAACCCCUACUCAUAGUUGCUACCAUUAAGUUGAGGACUCUAUGGGGACAGCCCGCGUAAGCGGUGAGGAAGGUGGGGAUGACGUCAAAUCAUCACGGCCCUUACGACUAGGGCUACACACGUGCUACAAUGGACGAUACAGAGGGUAGCUACAUAGUGAUAUGAUGCGAAUCUCCAAAGUCGUUCUCAGUUCGGAUCGCAGUCUGCAACUCGACUGCGUGAAGCUGGAAUCGCUAGUAAUCGCAAAUCAGCCAUGUUGCGGUGAAUACGUUCCCGGGCCUUGUACACACCGCCCGUCAAGCCAUGGAAGUUGGGAGUAUCUAAAGUCGGUAACCGCAAGGAGCCGCCUAGGGUAAGACUAGUAACUAGGGCUAAGUCGUAACAAGGUAGCCGUA